CUUGAUAUCAUCACAAAAGUUCUCUGAUAGGCUCCUUUUUUAAGAACCUGUUUGAGGCUUCCCAACCGAAGUCUGUUAGACGGAGGAGUGAGGCCUGGAGAAAGGAAGAGACGUAUCCAAAGUCACGCCAUGCGUUUGUGGCAGAAUUGAACGAGCUACGGCAUGGAAGGCAAGGGUUAAAGCAGAGAAAAGAAUUAGAAGGCCCUCGCAGCAGUCCAUUGGAGAGGUUUGGGCAGCUUGGACCAAGGAGGAGGCAGUGGAGAUGGAGAGACAUGGAAUUGGGAACAGCCCCAAGGCUUUCUGCUGGGCCGUGAAGAAAAUGAAAUAAGAUUUUUACUUUUGAUGGAAGAGUAGGAACAAGAGCAUGGAAGAGGAAUGAAACCAGUGUGGGUUGUGGUAGGCAAAGGAGUGAU